rnacentral:rRNA from 1 species
GAUGAACGCUGGCGGCGUGCCUAAUACAUGCAAGUCGAGCGAACGGACGAGAAGCUUGCUUCUCUGAUGUUAGCGGCGGACGGGUGAGUAACACGUGGAUAACCUACCUAUAAGACUGGGAUAACUUCGGGAAACCGUAGCUAAUACCGGAUAAUAUUUUGAACCGCAUGGUUCAAAAGUGAAAGACGGUCUUGCUGUCACUUAUAGAUGGAUCCGCGCUGCAUUAGCUAGUUGGUAAGGUAACGGCUUACCAGGGCAACGAUGCACAGCCGACCUGAGAGGGUGAUCGGCCACACUGGAACUGAGACACGGUCCAGACUCCUACGGGAGGCAGCAGUAGGGAAUCUUCCGCAAUGGGCGAAAGCCUGACGGAGCAACGCCGCGUGAGUGAUGAAGGUCUUCGGAUCGUAAAACUCUGUUAUUAGGGAAGAACAUAUGUGUAAGUAACUGUGCACAUCUUGACGGUACCUAAUCAGAAAGCCACGGCUAACUACGUG